CGUGGCUUGUAUCGACCCGAGCCGUGCCGGAGCCAACGCGUUAAGUAUCCCGCCUGGGGACUACGGCCGCAAGGUUGAAACUCAAAGGAAUUGGCGGGGGCCCGCACAAGCGGUGGAGCAUAUGGCUUAAUUCGAUGCAACGCGAAGAACCUUACCAGGGCUUGACAUGGAUCUGCAAGCCGCCGAAAAGCGGUCGCUUUCGAAGGUGAUUCACAGGUGGUGCAUGGCUGUCGUCAGCUCGUGUUGUGAGAUGUUGGGUUAAGUCCCGCAACGAGCGCAACCCUCGUGUUUAGUUGCCAUC
rnacentral:rRNA from 1 species